AUAUGGCUCAGGAUGAACGCUAGCGACAGGCUAACACAUGCAAGUCGAGGGCAGCAUAAAAGUAGCAAUACUUGGUGGCGACCGGCGCACGGGUGAGUAACGCGUAUGCAACCUACCUAUCAGGAGGGGAAUAACCCGGCGAAAGUCGGACUAAUACCGCAUAAAACAGGGGCACCGCAUGGUGAUAUUUGUUAAAGAAAUUCGCUGAUAGAUGGGCAUGCGUUCCAUUAGGUAGUUGGUGAGGUAACGGCUCACCAAGCCGACGAUGGAUAGGGGAACUGAGAGGUUGGUCCCCCACACUGGUACUGAGACACGGACCAGACUCCUACGGGAGGCAGCAGUGAGGAAUAUUGGUCAAUGGGCGGGAGCCUGAACCAGCCAAGUCGCGUGAAGGAAAGAAGGAUCUAUGGUUCGUAAACUUCUUUUGCAGGGGAAUAAAGUGCAGGACGUGUCCUGUUUUGUAUGUACCCUGAGAAUAAGGAUCGGCUAACUCCGUGCCAGCAGCUGC
rnacentral:rRNA from 1 species